rnacentral:rRNA from 1 species
UACGUAGGGUGCGAGCGUUGUCCGGAAUUAUUGGGCGUAAAGGGCUCGUAGGCGGUUUGUCGCGUCGGGAGUGAAAACCCAGGGCUUAACUCUGGGCUUGCUUUCGAUACGGGCAGACUAGAGGUAUGCAGGGGAGAACGGAAUUCCUGGUGUAGCGGUGAAAUGCGCAGAUAUCAGGAGGAACACCGAUGGCGAAGGCAGCCCCCUGGGCUGACACUCGACGCUCAGGCACGAAAGCGUGGGGAGCAAACAGG